UUAAUUAUCUUCAUGAAGAGUGCAGACAGAAGAAGCAGGCUAUUAAGUAACCUGGUAAUGGAAUUGACAAACUUACAUAGAGAAUAACGAAAUUUCCAAAUACCGCACACAUUUUCAUUCCCUGUAAGAUUGGUACAUCUAUUCUCCGUGAGAAGCACAUAGUAUUAACUACGUGUCUCUCCAAUAUUGACAAAACAACCAUCAAAAAGCCCACCAGCAGAGUCAGGGUGGUCACUAUCUUUUCUGCAAGCGUGUGUUCACUAAUACAAAGAGACAGAGAAACUCCUAGAAAGGGGGAGCCUUGUGAACAUGGUCAACUGGACUUCCUUUAUACAACCAUCGUCAAGCUAAUAGAAAACGCCCCUGCAAGAUUAGUUUAAGUCAAAAUCUGAUGAACCGUUAGACCCAAUGUUCUGAGAAGUCCUAGCUAAACAAUAGGAUAUAUCCUACAAUCAAGACCAUAUGCAUCUCCUUAGAGGGCGAUAAGUAUCUCAUCUCACAACGUCAGGCCCCUUGAUUUUGAAUUAAUGAUCAAACUGAUGCAAAAGCCAAUUGCUCAUUGGAAACUCAAUUGGAUCUCACGAGGCCCUCUAACAGGGAGCAUGCCGGGAAAGCAUUAUUCCACUUCUUGUUAAAGGAUUACUAACUCCCAGUCCUCAACACUACAGGAGAGUGUCGCCACAAUAAGUGGAACUUCCAUAGGAGUGCACACAGAUCUGAAGGACCAGGGCUAGUCAGCAAAAUCCUCAUUGUCAUUGUCAUAGGCUUUCCUUUGAAUAGCAGACAGUAGUAAUGUACAACUAGAACCCUGUGGAGAAGUUAAGUGGAGUUGUGGAGAUCUAUAUUGAUCAAAGGAAAUCGGAAAGUCCUACUACAAUAAAGAUCAAUUGAUAUCCCAAGAACCAGACCAGUGAAAAACACUCCAAGGAAGCAGGGCACCAUAAAGUCCAGAAGAUGGGAUCACACAAUCAAAUUAGGUAGCUUCUCCAAUCACCUGAUAAAUCAAAAAAGGGCCUGCAUCGCCAUUGGCAGUUCAGAAUGUAUAUAGCAAAGGCCAUGACUAAGCUAAAACUAGUCAUCAACAUCUAACUAAACAAAGCGCCUCUAAAAUAAUUACCAAGAAAGCUACAUAACCUGUUUUAUUCUGAAAAAUGAAGAGAAGGCUACGUAACCUCUUGAGCACCUGUAUUUAUCAACUCAAACAUGACUGAAAAGGGGNNNNNNNNNNNNNNNNNNNNNNNNNNNNNNNNNNNNNNNNNNNNNNNNNNNNNNNNNNNNNNNNNNNNNNNNNNNNNNNNNNNNNNNNNNNNNNNNNNNNUGUCUAUUCCAUAUACUCCUCAACAAAAUGGUGUUGUGGAAAGAAAAAACAGAACCCCACUGGAAAUGGUUAGGUCCAUGAUGGCGCAUACUAACUUACCUAUCACUUUUUGGAGUGAUGCGUUAUUAACAGCUGCCUAUAUACUUAACCGGGUGCCUUCCAAAUCAGUUACUUCCACUCCAUAUGAGUUAUGGAUAGGUAGAAAACCGGACUUAAGUUUUCUUAAGCCAUGGGGUUGUGCUGCCUAUACUCAUGAGUCCUCUCACAAAUUUGGGAAAUUGGGUCCCAAAAGAAAUAAGAGUAUUUUCAUAAGAUACUCCGAAUACUCGAAAGGGUAUGUGUUCAUAGGUGAGUAGAAAAGUGGGAGUAUAACUUAAUUUGAAUCACGAGAUGUCACAUUCUUAGAGAAUGAAUUUUUUAAGAAGGGCGAAAUAGGGGAAGAUUACUCCUUAUUUGUAAUCUUGGAUCAAGAUAAUGAUAUUAGUGGAGUUCGUCCAAGUGGGAGUAAUAUGAGAAGUGAUGAAUUGAAUUCAACUCAUUCUCAAUUGCAACCACAUGAUGAGACGACGUCAUCAUUAUCUAAUCCUAGUGGGAGCAUAAUGGGAAAUGAUGUGCUAAGUGUACAAUCUCCCAUACGGCGAACAAGUCGCCAAAGUAUUCCCCGUCGACGUUUUGACAUUGAAGGUGAAACUUUUAUGAUUGCUCUGUAAGAUGAGGAUGAGCCAAGAAAUAUUAAUGAGGCUCUAAAUUGCCCUAGUAAGGAAAAAUGGAUUCAUGCAAUGGAAGAGGAAAUUGAGUCAAUGAAGUCAAACCAUGUUUGGGAACUGGUUGAUCUUCCAAAAGGACACAAAGCUAUUGGGAACAAAUGGGUUCUCAAAAUAAAGUGAAAAGCUGAUGGCUCGAUAGAAAGGCAUAAGGCUCGCAUUGUGGCGAAGGGGUAUAAUCAACAGGAAGGAAUUGAUUAUGAAAAAAUAUUUUCUCCUGUAGUGAGAUUUACCUCGAUUCGCAUUAUUUUGGCAAUAGUGGCUAGUAUAGAUCUUGAGUUACAUCAAAUGGAUUUAAAGACUGCUUUCCUCAAUGGAGAAUUAGAGGAAUAAAUAUAUAUGGAACAACCUGCUGGUUUCAUUAUAGAAGGCCAAGAAGGAAAGGUAUGUCGACUUUUGAGAUCGAUAUACGGCCUUAAGCAGUCAUCGAGACAAUGGUAUAUAAGUUUUCAUAAUGCCAUAAUGGCAUAUGAUUUUACAAUGAUAGAUGAGGAUCAUUGUGUAUAUAUCAAAAGAUCCAGAGAUCAAUUUGUGAUUAUAUCAUUAUAUAUUGAUGAUAUACUAAUUGCUGGAAGUAAUAUGAAGUUUGUUAAUACUAUCAAGAGUUGGUUGUCUUCCAACUUUGAGAUGAAGGAUAUGGGUGAGGCUGCAUACAUUCUUGGAGUUAAAAUUUCAAGAGAUCGUUCGAAGAGAUCGUUAUCUUUUUUCGCAAGAAACAUAUAUAAAUAAGGUUCUUGAACGAUUUCGUAUGCAAGAUUGUAAACCCAUAGGCACUCCUAUUGCAAAAGGUGAAGGAUUGAGCCAUAGACUGUAUCCAAGGACUCCACAAGAGAAGGAACAAAUGAAACAUGUUCCUUAUGCUAGUGCUGUUGGAAAGCUUGAUGUACGCUAUGAUGUGUACAAGACCUGACAUAUGUUUUGCAAUUGGAAUGGUGAGAAAAUACCAAUCCAAUCCAGGUCAAGCACAUUGGAAAGCCGUUAAGAGAAUACUAAGGUAUCUAAAGGGAAUUGCUGAUUAUACGCUGAGUUAUUAAGGAAAUGAUCUGCGACUCUAAGGCUAUUCUGAUGCUGAUUGGGGAGGAGAUUUAGAUGAAAGAAAAUCUACCUCUGGGUUUGUUUUCUUACCGAAUAAUGGUGCCAUAUGUUGGAGCAAUAAGAAAUAAACUUGUAUAGCCUUGUCCACGAUGGAAGUUGAGUUCGUGGCAUUAUCAGCAGCAGUAUAAGAAGGUGUUUGGCUUAAGAGAUUUUUGGAUCAUUUAGGUGUUAUUGGAAGUGUUGUAGAUUCAUUGUUGGUUAACUGUGAUAGCCAAGCAGCAAAAGCGUACACCAAAGAUCCAAAAUAUCAUGGCAAGACCAAACAUAUAGAUACCAAGUAUAAUCUUGUCAAAGAUAUGAUUGCACGAAAAGAUGUGAACUUAUAGUACAUAUUAUGCAUAGAAUGGUAACAGAUCCUAUGACAAAGCCAAUACCUAGAGAUGUUUUUUGUGGCCAUAUGAAAUCUCUAGGAUUGCGUAGAGGCUGAUGUACUGAAUAUUGUAAUUUCCCUAAGUGUUCACAUUUGAUGAAUUUGUGUUUUUCAUCAUUAAUGCCUAUGAAUCUUUAUUUGAUCUUUAUGCAUCUUAAUGCUCAGUGCAUUAUUUUAAGUUGAGAAAGUAUGUCGGACAUAUAUAAGAUUAGCCCACUCACACAGGUAAUCGCCUCUAUUUACUGUGUGAUAAAUAGAGAUGUGACUAUUUUUAAGCUUAUUAUCUAGGUGAUAAUCGAGAGCUCAAGCUUAAAAUACAUAAGUCGCCUUAACUGAGUGUUAAGAUGAGGACAUAAUACUUAUUAUGUCCGAAAGUAAAAUAACCCACAUAUUUUACUUUAUCUGUCUAUGAUGCCAGAUGUGAGUUCUGAUGAAUUUUGUGAAUGAGUAGAUACGUGAACUCAAGUUAGACAUUGGGUAUGUCUGAACUAUCAUCUAUACGGUAUUGAAGGUGUAAACAUACCCUCCAUGGGAAAGGAGUUAAUACCGUAAUACGUAUUUCAUACUACGUAUGCAUGAGACGACCAAUAAGAGUAGCAAAAGUUUGAUCUCAACUUUUAUGCCGUGUGAGACUCUCGAGGAAAGGAGUUCCUCAAUAUUUUAGUGCCCUCAUGACUCUACUUAUUCUCAAGAUUUCUAUUUAGUGUUUGCUAUCUUAGAAUGUUGCCAAUGGUUAUGAGUUGAUUCGAUCUAAUGGGACAUUUCUAGAAUAGCAAGCUAAACUGAAAUUUGAGAGUUUGAAGGAAGAGGAGAUCGAAUUUGGAGAUCACAUGUAAUUUUUAUUCACUGGUUAACCAAUUAUGACUGUUCUUUGGGAUAAUCAUAAUUGUGAAUACAAUAUAUAUAUAUAUAUAUAUAUAUAUAUAUAUAUAUCAUUGUUUAAAAGAGAUCAAGAGAGAUAUAAAUGUGAUCGAUCGAUCUAGGGAACUGCAUACUAAAUCUACUCAGGAUGUGAUGCCCAUUAUGAGCUGCUAUAUAUUCCUAACAGAUGUAUGGCAACGAGCUCUCAAAGUAUGAUGGUCGCACGGAUUAUUCACCUGUAUGAAUGUUGAAGAGAGGUAAAGAGAAUCCUGUUCGGCCCACCAUGUGCGAGUGGGAGAUGAUGGUUUUAUUAAUAUUGUGAUGGGCCUAAGUUGGCCCGUCCGCCCAUGUUGGGCCUAAAAGCCUAGCCCACAAAAUUAGGGCCCAUGAAUGGAGGGAUACGUUGAAGAGUUGUAACUUUUGGGAGGACGUCUUUUGCUGAAGGGACAUGUCUUUUGGAGAAGACGUAUUUAAGGGGAGAAAAGAAAAAAAGAAAAGGCACCUUUUGGACGUACGCGCACUUUUUCUUUUCCCCUCUCCCAAAAACCAACGUAAGUUUUCUCCCCUUUUGAACCAACAGUAGGCUCCUUGGUAGACCGGGAUCAGAUUCUUCCUUGAUCUUCAGCAUUGGUAUUUAAUCUGUGGCUAACAAGGUACGCUCGAUUCCGUGGUGUGCUUUAGGAUCGGUGAUACAUGUUCUUUCUGGGCUCGUCUUCCGCAUUCGUUUUAAGGGUUCGAUUUAGUGUCGAAUCCGAUUUUUUUGGAAUCCGACAAUCCCAACGAUAUUUUCCCCAACCUAAUUUUGUGUCAUAAAAGACCACAAAUGUUACUCCUAAUCCAAUCUACCUUCUAUAAAAUGUGUAGAUUUUUCACGCCGAAUCUAUCAUUCUCCAUGUCAAGUCUAUCUUGCAGUUAUCUAUUGUUGUGUUGACAUGCAUGCAUUUUAACAUAAUAUUAAACUUAAUACUGAUUGAUGGUAGAUUUGCGUCAGAGAUACCAAUUUGGUAUAUUUUGUGACACGAAAAAUAAAUUUAGGGUAAAUGUGUCAUGGAGUGCUAGUUUAGGAUUUUUAUGAGACAAAAGCCAAUUUGGGAUAAAGGUGUCAUGAGAGUAGAAUUUGGGAUAUUUAAUAGUAUUAGCACUAGUUAUGUUUAGAGACAGUUCCUUAAGGAAGAACUUGAUCUAAUAUAUUUAAAUAAAUAGGGAAGUCAUCGGGGUGAAGCUUCAUAGGAAGAAAAUUUCUUUCUUGGAUUUGGGUCCACCGAUUUGAGUUCAACAAUUUCUCUAGACGACCAUCUUCCAUCAUUUUGAGGUGAUGGUGCAUUGCAUGCUUCAAGACAAUUCCCUGCUUCGAAUGAGUUUAGAUUUAGGAUUGUAGGCAUUAGAGUGACUAAAUAUAACUUUGAAAGGAUAAACGUAAAUGAAAAAACAAGCCCUGGGAGCAAAAGAUAUUUUCGCUGUACAUAACAAUACAUGAAAUCCUCAAUCUUGGAACCUUAUGACUCAAUUCCAAGGCCAGAGUUUCUAGUUCUAGCAAGUAAUGUCACAAACCGUUGAGAAUUGAACCAUGAUUUUUAACAUGAACAAAUAACAGCAUAAGCACAAAAACAAGGAGACAUUGCGAAACCACUAGUGAAGAUUGCCACUGUAGCUAAAGAAAAUAAGCAAAAUUUGCAAUUACUAACACAAAUUUCUACAAAAAAAAAAAAAGAAGAAAAAAAAUCAUGCUCAACAUGAAUAGAAAAAUAUUGGAAAGAGAGGUGAGACCGAGGGCGGGUGUGAGAAAAUGCCACAUGAGGAAGAGAGCUUGAGGGUGGUAGGCAUGAUGGAACACGGUGUGAGGAAGAGAGCUCGAGGGCAGUGAGCAUGAGGGAAUGUGGCUUGAGACAUGGAAGAGGGAGAGUCGUGAGGCAUGAGAGAGGAGAGUGAAGAAAGAGAAGCGUUUGUAGGGUUUUUGCUCCAUAAAAAGGCAAAAAUGGAAUUACGUCUAAUAAAUGAUGGUGAGAUGGGAAGUUAAGAUAUUUUCAUUAAACCAACAAAGUAGAGUUUUGAAAAAGCUAAUUCUUAAGAAACCUCCAAUUUUUCAGUCUCUUAAAGGCAUUUGCAUAUGCUCAAAGGACUUUAGAGCCCUAAAGUCCAUUCUAAAUAUUGAACCAAACAGAGAAACUUGGGCUUAGGCUUUGCAUUGAAAAGCUCCAAGCCUUGAUGAUGAGACUUUGGGGCUGGAUUGAGCCUGGAUUCAGAAGAGCCGGAUUCGUGCAAGUUCAUCACAUCAAAAACCCUAAAGAAAUCCAGAUCCUGCAUGAAAGCUACAGGCCCAGACAAAAAGUUUUUGUAUUUGGUCCAAACCCGCUUGAUAGCAAAAGAUUUGUCCAAACCCGAUCAAAUAAUGAGUCGUCGAUUAGCAUCGGUCAUGGUGAAUCACUUCCACUUGUUCUGGUUUUAGGUCAGUCAUCGGCAAUCUUCUCUGUUUUCGACUUUAUUUGUUGCCCUGGCAAAAGGUGAUGGAAUUUUUUACCAGUGCCGUGCACGUGGGAUUGAGUGAAAAUGCGACCUCAUUUGCUGCGUCUUCCUCAAGACCGUAAUGGAACUUUUGACCAGUGCCGUGCACGUUGGAUUGAGUGAAAAUGCCCGACUUCAUUUGCUGCGUCUUCCUCGGGGACACGGAGGGCGGUCCACUUUCUCCCCAUCGGGGAAGCACUGGGACCACCUUUAUUCCUUUUUAAUUCUUUAAUCCGGGCUCUGUCAAAAGAGGGAAAAAAAUUCCAUUUUACCUCUGCUUUCUGUCUCACUCUCGGUCUCUCUCUCCCCGAGAGUGAUCGAUUCGAUCCAAUCUAGUUCCAUUUAGGAAUUAGGAAUCGAAUUGGAAGGAUUGAUUCCUAAUUUUUAGGAUAAAAAAUUAGACCGGACCGAUUUAGGAUCGAGAACUGGACCGGACCAACCGGUCUAGUCCGAUCUGGUCCCAUGAAACGAAUUACUUAGUAAGAAAAUUUAAAAAUUAAGAAAAAUACAAGAAUUUUUACUAUUUUUAAGUUUUAUUGCUAUUUUAAGAAAUUAAAAAAUCAAUUUAAAAAAAAAUGGAUUGACCGGUCCGGUCCGGUCCAUUCCGGUUCCACCCCAAAAUUAGGAACCCCAACAAUUACCGGAACUAGGAAUUGGACCAAUCCCUCUGGGAACCAGACCACACUGGCCAGUCUAGUCUGAUUCAAGCGAUUCUCGGUUUGGGCAGUCCGAUAUGCUAACCCCUAAUCUUAUCUUGUCUCCAUGACCAAAUGAAUCACGAUAACUUUACAUCAUUGAUCUCCACUUCACGUGCAAUGAGAGCCGUGUUCGGCCUGGAGCAACGAUCGUGAAGUCGGAAGUACCCACCCGCAUCGAUGUUGGAGCAGCUCUGUGACAGUGGUGCCGGUGAGCAAAACGGUAUUAGGGCGCUAAGCUUAGAGUGGAAAGUGGGUCUAGGGUUUCCUGGUGAUUGAGCAUAGCAAAGUGUUAGAAGCAUUUUGGAGAAGAAAGUCACAGUUUGAUUAAACAAAAAAAAGUCACGUGGUCGUUUCUUGUGAGAUGGAAUGUGGUACCGUUUUUAUUGAGAAAAAAUAGGGUGUUAAGAUUGGAUUAAUUUAGGAGAUUAUGUAACAUAGCUCACUGUCUUUAUUGAGAAAAAAAAAUUGUACGGAUUUUCGUUAUUUUCAUGAGAAUAGCUUACACAACCAUCGCCAAAUAAUAAUUGGCGUUAAUAUAUUAGAGAAUUCAAUUAAUCAAUCUUUAAAAAAGCAAUAAAAUUAAAUGCUAAGUAACACGAUGAAGAAAGUAACAAAGUUAAUCUUUUAGCAGAAAAAAAUGAUGAGCUGAUUUAUACUUUUUCUAAUAAAACAAUAGGCAGGGAGAGAAGAUCGCUGGGUGGCUCCUCCACCGAUUGUAAUGUGUAUUGUAUGGGUGCCAUAUUCAUGAAUGGCGUAGGCGAGGACACAUAUUUGAACGUUAACUUGUAUUUGAUAUAAGCAAACUUUAUUUCAAUUUAUGGCCAAUUUAAUGAAUAUCUAGGACACCUGUUAAAUAUUUUUAUUAAAGGGAUUUUGACCUUCAAUGUGUAAUAGGAUAUAUUACGAUGACAAUCAACAUAUUAGGAGUUGCAAUAUUUUCUUAUUUAGUUGCUUAAUGAGUGUUUUCGAGAGACCUUUUAAAUAAAUAUUUUUUAUCUUGGAUCUUUAUACUUUUUUAAUACACUUCAAUGCUUCGGCUUGGAUUAAUAAGUUCUUUCAAAGGGAAAGCCUAGUGGAUUUUUCCAAGUAUUAUGCAAAGAAUGCAAUCAAGUAUUAUGCAAAGAAUGCAAUCGACUAAUAAACUUUCGGUUGGUAAGAUCAAUUUCUAAAUCUUGUAUAAAGAGAAAAGUUUAACAAAAUCCUUCCACCAGAAAUUUGCCAUUGUUUCUGUAAAAAACUGUUUGAGUGAGCGUACGUUGAUUCAAAUAAGGUACAACUGAAAAAAAAUCUCUGAUACUCUUUCCAAUUAAAAAAAUUUCAAGAUUCAACUAAUCCUCGAUUUUGAGCAGGAUUUACAUGGCACUGUUUAGAAUCAAUAAUCCAUUACCCUGCCUUCCACUCAGACAGAGCCAGAGAGAGAGAGAGAGAGAGAGAGAGAGAGAGAGAGAGAGAGAGAGAGAGAGAGAGAGAGAUUUUGUCUAGCCAGACAGUGACUAUGGAAGCAUUUGGGUUCAUUGCAGAGAUGAUAAUUACAAAAACAAGAGGUGAGAAUUUGUUUGCUCUGCCCUGAUAUUAUUGUAUUCGCUCUUCCGGGGUACGUGUCCAAAUACCUUUCAGCUCUUUAAUAAUUAGUGAAUCUUUUUUUUUUUGGUCGAAUAUAAUUGGUGAAUUAGGUUAGAUUAGAUUAAAUUAGGAGAUUAUGUAACAUAGCUCACGAUAUAGAAAAAAUAGUAUGGACUUUUACUAUUUUUGUAAGAAUAGCUUACAUAACCAUUGACAAAAUAAUAAUUGGCAUUAAUACAUUAGAAAAUUCGGUUAACCAAUCUUAGAAAACAUGAUAAAAUUAAAUGCAAAGAAACACGAUGGAGAAAGUAACCAAGUUAAUUUCUAAGUAGAAAAAAAAAUGACGAGGUUGAUUUUAUUUUUAAUAAAGAAAUGGACGGGGAGGGGUGAUCACCAGGUGCCUCUUCUGUUGAUUGUAAUGUGUAUUGUGUGUCAUAUUCAUGUAUGGCGAAGGUAAUGGUCUAUUUUGAAACUUGAACUAGUAUUUGAUAUCAACAAAUUUUAUUUUGAUUUAUAGUCAUUUUAAUGAAUAUCUUGAGUACUUGUUAAAUAUUUUUAUUAAGAGAAUCUUCGAUCUUCGAUGUGUCAUCGAGUAUAUUAUGAUGACAAUGAAUGUAUUGGGAGUCACAAUUUUUUUUAUUUAAGUACUUAAUAAGUGUUUUUGAGGUACUUUCUAAGUAAAUCUUUUUUUAAGUCAAGUCCUUAUGCUCUUUAAAAAAAAAAAUAUUCUAAAUCUUUUACUAAACCAGCGAAAGGUAUUUUUUUCGGAGUACAAGAGGAAAGAAGAAGAAAGAUAGGCGGAUGCGUCACGCAUAUGUAGGUGCGGCAAAGGGAAGAUUAGGAUAAACACCUCUGGUCGGACCGCUUGCUUUUGGCCUUUCUUCUUUUAUUUCUUACUCUUUUUUUUUUUUUUUGGCAUUUGGGCAAAGACGCGUACUUCGUUUCUUGUUUGACGGGUUGCAAGUCUCUUCUUCCAACCCAAACCACAAAAAAGAAACAAUUAAAAAAUUAAAGGAAGAUUGCAAGUCUCUUCUUGAUGCUCGACAUGCGAAUCACGCUGGAAUGCAUUCCACUCACUUUAUUGAAAGGACUUCCUGUGCAAUUUUCCUGUUUCGCUUUCAUCUUGACUCAAAGUCGUCAGUCUAUUAUUUGCAUCUUCUUUCCUCCUCUCUUCCAUUUCUCAAGCAUCUCUCUGCUCAGAGUUUCACUGCAGGCCAUGGUUUUACUCUGCAGCAGUCUCCCCUCUUUCUUCCUUUCCUUUUCCUUCGUUUUGCUAUUGCCAUUCUCAAACUUCAUUGCUCAAGCUCGAGAUUAUGAUCAUCCAACCGCCAUGCUUUCAACACGGUGGACGAAUAACGCAACAGCUAAUCACUCCACCCAAUAUAGUGCUGGAUCAGUUGUGCAGAAAAUUCUAUUCCGACGCGCAGGAGUUACUGCCUACUACUCCUGCGGCUUCUAUUGCAAAGGUAAGUGCACCUCUUACCUCUUUGCUGUUCUAAUCAUCAAACCUGACUAUAGGGUGGACGGAAGUCCACGAGUAGUGUGGUCUGCCAAUCGAAACAAUCCCAUAAAGAUUGGCGCAACAUUGGAGCUCACGCCUGAAGGCGAUUUGGUGUUGAAAGAUGCUGAUGGUACGGUUGCUUGGUCCACAAACACUUCUGCAAAGUCCGUUGUAGGCCUGAACUUGACAGAUUUGGGGAACCUCGUAUUGUUUGAUAAGGACAAUGCGACAGUUUGGCAGUCCUUUGAUCACCCAACCGACUCACUUGUCCUCGGACAAAAGUUGAGGCAUGGGCAAAGAUUGACGCAGAGUAUUUCCGAGACAAGCAGAGUAUUUCCGAGACAAAUUGGACCGUUGACGAUAUGAUUACGUUUUCCGUGAAUGACGAUGGUUUAUCUGCUCAAGUGGAGACUAAUCCUCCUCAAAUCUAUUUCAACUACAAACUUGACACUGGGGAUACAAGUAUCAAGAUUUCAUAUGUUGAGUUUGUAAAUGGAAGCUUGUCUUGGUUCUCAAAUUCUACCUCGAAUGGGAGCUUUUCUCUUUCAAUCCCUUCAGCAUCUUCAACACAACACAUGACGCUAGGCUCAGAUGGGCAUUUGAAAGUGUAUGAGCCUGGGGGGGUAGAAGUGGCCGAUCUUUUCAAAUGGUAUGUCGAUGACUGUGCCUAUCCGACGGUGUGUGGGCACUAUGGAAUUUGUUCCAAUGGGCAAUGAACUUUGCCAUAACUUAUGUUGCAAUUAAGUUUUAUUGCUUAUGUAGAAACUAAUCGUACUCAAGUCUGUUGUGUCUUAAGUCAUUCGUGUAAAAUGCUGCCAAAAGACUUGCUGCUAAAAGACUAGUCAGCUACUUGUAAUGUCUUUUGGCAGCUUUACCAUUUCAUGGUUCCAAAUCUAAUUUGCUUUUUGGUUUCAACACCUAAUAUCUUUCAGAUUCAAUGACUUUACCUCCGUGUCUUCCUCAUUUCAAAAUUAAUGAUCUAUUUUUUAGUCCAUUCUACAAGCAGUACAAUUAAAACCGAUAAAGAUAACAGGAGAAUUCAAUCAUUGAUAAGUUCGAAUUUUUCCUUGUGACUCCUAAUACAUCCUAGGUUAAUAAUCUUAACUACCAGCUUUUUAAGGAUCUAUGGAGAUCGUUUCGAGGCAUAUGAUUGCCAAAAAUAAAGAGCUGACAUGUUUGGGCAUUCAAGAUUCGACUUUUCAAUCUUUAAAAAACGCUGAUCAUUUGCAAUAACCUCGGCAUUUCCAGUCUUUAAUCAUCAUGAUCCAAGCGUGCUGAUCCAUCAAAUUUAUCCAGGUAUAAGAAGCUGGUCCGGGUCUUAUUUGGUCCCGAAACUGCUCGCACAAUUAACCAAAGUUCAAAGCGAUCUGACAUGGCCCGCUGCCAUGCCGUGGCACCUCUUGAUUCUCUUGAUUCGAUCUGAUAGCGGCAGGUCAACAAACCAGAGCCCACGUGGAGCUCACCCAUUGGCCUGAGCUAUGUGUAACCUCUCGCAAAGUCCUCCCUCUUCCUUGCACAAACUCACUAGCGACGGAAAUAUUUCUUCUUCUUCUUCUUCUUCUUCCAAUUCCUCUGCAUUUGCGCCCUUCGCCUUCUCCUCUUCUUGAAGUCUCCGAAUCAGAGUAGCCAUAGUAAGCCAUCACAAAUCGCACAGAGAAACGAUAAUCAGUACAUAACAUCCCCAAAAAGUAUAAGACAAGACAAUAAAACUGAUGUGAUUAUAAAAAUAAAAACUGUACGCAAGCAGAAAGAAGGCUGAGAGGAAGAAAGAAGACGACAUAUGGCCUAUGACUUCCCGAGACAUCUCAAGCAUAACAUAAGACCGUUUGCAAUGCAUAAGCAUCAGAAAUACAGCAUAUUAAAUAUCAAUAGCCAGUGGUCCAUUUCUUUCUUUACAGUAGCCCAAACUGGAUCCAGCUUAUAAAAGAGGAGUUUACUCUUGUUGCACAGUGUCAGCUUGCCAUGCAAAAAAGCAGAAGUGUAAAGAGACACAGCAGCAUUCUUUUCUUCGCUUGUUUCCCCCUAAAAGAUGUCAAGGUAGUCUCCAUAUGGCUAUGAAGCUCAAAGUAAGAGACAAUUACAAAAUGCUGUAACAUUUUCUUCCUGAUAGUUUAUGCAACAGAUAUUGGACAAAUGGAGAGCUAGAAGUGCAUACAGCCACACACAGAGGGCUCAUUAAUUCAUUAACAUUAAGGAACAGAAUAUCAAGACAGAAAAAAUAUAAAUAUUACAAAAUGCCAAGCCACACUAAAAAACCCUUGCUGUUUUAGUUAUGAGUGAAUCAAGGUUUACCGUGUAAGAUUUCGACUUAAUGACUAUUUUUCCAUUUCUCUGGAGAAGUAAGCUGUUAAGCAACCUGAUAAUGGAAUUGACAAACUUCUUACAAGUUACAUAGAGUAUAACAAAAUUUCCAAAUACUGCUCACAUUUUCAGUCCCUGUAAGAUUGUUACAUCUAUUCUCCAUGAGGAGCACAUAGUAUAAAGUACAUGUCUCUCCAAUAUUUACAAAAUAACCAUCAAAAAGCCCACCAACAGAGCCAGGGUGAUCACUAUCUUUUCUUCAAGCAUGUGUGUUUACUAAUACAAACAGACGGAGAAAUUCCUAGAAAGGCAGAGCCUUGUGAACAAGGUCAACUGGACUUCCUGGAUACAACCAUCAUCAAGCUAAGAGAAAACGCUGCUGUAAAAUUAGUUUAGCCAAAAUCUGAUGAACAAUGGUUUGAGAAGUCAUAGCUAGACAAUCGGAUGUAUCCUACAAUCACGACCACAUGCAUCUCCACAGAGGGUGAUAACUAUCUCAUCUCACAACAUCAGGCCCCUUGAUUUUGAAUUAAUGAUCACACCAAUGCAAAAGCAAUUGCUCAUUGGAAACUCAAUUGGAUCUCACAAGGCCCUCUAAUAGGGAGCCCACCAGGAAAGCAUUAUUCCACUUCUUGUUAAAGGGUUACUAACUCCCAGUCCUCAACACUACAGGAGAGUAUCGCCACAAUAAAUGGAACUUCCAUAGGAGUGCACGCAGAUCUGAAGGACCAGAGCUAGUCAGGAAAAUCCUCAUUGUAAUAAGCUUUCCUUCGAAUACCAGACAGUAGUAAUGUACAACUAGAACCCUGUGGAAUAAGUUGAGUUGUGGAGAUCUAUAUUGAUCAGAGGAAAUUGAAAAGUCCUACUAUAUUAAAGAUCAAUUAAUAUCCCAGCAACCAGACCAUCGAAAAACCAUCCAAGGAAGCAGAGCACCAUAAAGUCCAGAAAAUGGGAUCACACAAUCAAAUUAGGUAGCUUCUUCAAUCACCUGAUAAAUCAAAAGAGGGCCUGCAUCGCCAUUUGCAGUUCAGAAUGUACAAAGCAAAGGCUAUGACUAAGCUAAAACUAGUCAUCAACAUCUAACUAAACAAAGCCCCUCUAAAAUAACUACCGAUUGAAGUAAAAUGAAGACUGCAUAACCUGUUUUAUUCUGAAAAAUGAAGAGAAGGCUACAUAACCUCUUGAGCACCUGUAUUUAUCAACUCAAACAUGACUGGAAAGGGGACUCAAACGAGAAUUUCUCAGAGAGAGAGAGAGAGUCAUGUAGGUGGGUACCACACGAUCCAACAAUCCUCACCUGCAUAUGAAGACGUGUCCUUCCAAAUUUUCCAUAUAACAAAAGUCAAGCAAGGAAAAUCAUACCAUCCGUACCCAACAAAACCCGCACAACAGAAACAGGCAAACCCAGUCGAUGCCAAAGAUAAUUCAAUUUAACUCUAGGUCUCAAUGAUAUCAAGCCAUCAUACUUGCAACAUUAGGGCUGGGAGAUACUAUAAGCCUAGUCCACGCACCAUGACAUCCUCUGUGAUUUUCUUUUCAAUGACUUCAGUAUUUUUUGCAAUUUACAUUCAUCAGGCAUAAUGAAAAACUAAAUCAAAUGUACACUAUUAUGUGCAUCAUCAAACAAUGAUUAAGUAAAAACUAUGUCCACUUGAAUUGACAUGAAACUGGUACAUAACCACGAAACCAUAAGCGCUGGGCAGGUACUUAUAUUUGUUGGCCUAUGUGAAGAUGUUAAUAUACUCUCAAGCCAAAGAGAAGGGCUUUCUAUUUGAGUAUCUAAUUGGAAAAAAAUGUCCUUAUUAGACAAAUAAACCAGCAGAUGUUCAGAAAAAAAGCACAAGUGGGCAUUCUUUGUGUGCAAUAGGUGCUGCUAAUUUUAAGGCCUCUUGGAGCCUGAGCAACUGGCUUUCUAUGUGAGUAAUUGAUUGAUCAUCGUCGCCACUGAUUUUGCAUAGAGACACCAGAAAGAAAUGUUAGACGAAGAAAAAUAGAAUGAAUACUACCGGUUGUCUUAAUCAACGCAUUUUCAUUUGUGCCAUCAAUCUUCAGUUUAAACAUUCCACGACAUCUGAAAUGAUCAUCACGUAAAGUAAUCCUAUUGUAAUGUUAAACCCUCCCCACAUAGAAACCUUCCCAGUAUCGAUGAUCCACCACCCUGACUUCAUCUCAAAGACAGAGCCAGAGAGAGAGAGAGAGCAAGGAUCUUGUAACUGAUGGUGUAACUUUUUAAGUAUUCAUAACAGCAAAGCUGUAGCAUAUAGCCUAAAAGAGAAGACCGACAAUCUUAAAGGUGAUGAUCGAUAGGAGCGAGUUAGAAAGAGCUUCUGCGGCGGGGGGAGAGAGACUACCUUCGGGGUCGAUUCGAUCGCCGGUCGCCGCCGCGCCAAGGAGCAAUCGCCGAGAGCCAGAGCAAGCGAGAGAGAGAGAGAGAGUUUUUGGGUGCGGACAAGAGGGUGAUUUAUAUAAGAGGUUUGGGGUGCGCUGCAGAGAUGACAAUUGAGAAAAACAAGAGGAGAAAAUUUGUUUGCUCUGCCGAGACGUUAUCGUAUUCCCUCUUCUGGGGUACGUAUCCGAAUACUUUUCUUGCACUUCACCAAUCAAUGUGAAUCUUUUCUUUUGGUCGAAUAUGAUUAGUAAAUUAGAUUAGAUCAAAUUAGGAGAUUACGUAUAUAGUUCACCCUCUUUAUCGAAGGAAAAAAAACGAUAUGGAUUUUUGCUAUUUUCAUAGAGAUUCAUAGAGAAUAACUUACGUAGCAAUCAUCAACAAAAUAACAAUUGACAUUAUUGUAUUAGAGAAUUUGGUUAGCCAAUCUUAGAAAACGCAUUAGAAUCGAAUGUUAGGAAACGUGGUGAAGAAAGUAACAAAGUUAAUUUCUGAGUAGGAAAAAAAAUGAUGAGUCUAUUCUUUUUCUUUUAUUAUAAAGAAAUGGGCGGGGAGAGACGAUUGCCGAUGGCUCCUCUAUCGAUUGUGAUGCAUAUUAUAUGGGUGUCAUAUUUAUGCAUGGCAAAGGUGAGGACACAUUUUCAAACUUUAACUCGUACUUGAUGUCAGCAAACUGUAUUUUGAUUUAUGGCCAUUUUGAUGUUUAUAUUGAUCACUUGUUAAAUAUUUUUAGGGAUAUGUAUACAACAAAUCUUAAAACUUAUUACGAAAAUACAAUUGAGUCUUAAAAUUUUUAAAAAUUUCAAUUAAGUUCUAAAACUUGUCAAACUAGUGCAAUCGAACCCCUUCCAUUAAUAUUAGCAAUUUGUCUAACAAAAUAACGUAGCAUUUUUUUUUUCAAAGUCUUAUUUAAAUAAUAUAUUUUUUUUAAAAGCUAAAAUAAUUUUUAAAACAAAUUUGGAAACAAAGAAAAGAAAAAGGGUAGGGACCAUGCUAGGCCUAUGGCCACCGCCCAUCGUUGGAGGGGGCCGACCUCGUUGGCCCUAGGUGGUGGAGGGGGGGCAGCCCUCUCCAGCCCGAGCGAGGCCACUGUUGGCCCAGGCAAGGUCGGGCAAGGCCACCGUUGGCGCAAGCAAGGUCGAGCGAGGCUCGCCCAAAUCUAGACAACACCCUAUGGGUCACCUAGAUCUAAGUGAUGCCAGCCCUUAUCUGGGGUUGACCGAUAAGGCCUCACUUGGGGCUGGUGAGGCCUCACUGGUCAUAGGGGAGGAUUGACGUCGCCCAAAUCUAGGCGACCCUCUUCUGGCGUUGAGGCAUCGCCUAGAUCUGGGCGAACCUCACUUAGGCCUAAGUUGAGGCGUCGUCCAAAUCUAGGUGAGCCUCGUCGGCCCUUGACUAGGCUGGCGAUGGCCUCACCUGGGCCGACAAGGUCCCUCCCCCUCUUUGCCGCCUAAGGCUAACAACCUUAUUGGCCCCCUUUGAUGAUGGGUGGCAGCGGCGUCAUGCCCAACACAAUCCCUGCCUUCAUUUUUCUUUGUUUUCAAUUUUGUUUUUUAAAUUUUUUUUAGUUUUUUAAAAUUUUUUUACUAUAAUUUACAUAAUAUUCAAAGAAAAAAGUAAUAUAAAAUUCCACGUAAGAUAAAUAAAUAAAUUUAAAAAUGCUACGUUAGCAUAUUCCGUUAGAUAAAUUGAUGGUGUUAACGCAAGGACUUAAUUGCAUUAAUUUGACAAGUUUUAAGAUUUUAUUGCACUUUUUGAAAGUUUUAGGGUUUCACUGUACUUUUGUGACAAUUUUUAGGACUUGUAGUAUAGAUAUCAUAUAUUUUUAUUAAGGGGAUCUUUGAUCUUUGAUAUGUGAUUGGGUAUAUUACGAUUGCAAUAUUUUCUUAUUUAGCUGCUUAAUAAAUGUUUUUGAGGCACUUUUUAAGUAAAUCCUUUAUAAAUCUGGUCUUUAUACCUUUUUAAGACACUUUGUUGCUUCGGCUUGGAUCUUCAGAAAGAAAAACCUAGUGGAAAUUUCCAAGUAUUAUGCAAAGAAAGCAAUCGACCAGUAAACUUUUCGGAUUAAUACAUCAAUUUCUAAAUCUUUCAUAAAGGGGAAAGUUCAACGAGAUCCUCCCAUCAUGAAUUUGUUGUUGUUGUUAUAAAAAAUCACUUAAGUGCUCAUAUGACAAAUUAAAUAAGGUAUAGAUACUCUUUCUAAUAAAAAAAUUUCAAGAUUCAACUAAACUAAUGAAAGGUUUAAAGCUUGAUUGCAUUUUUUGUGUAAGAUUUUGGACACAGUAUUUUUCUUUUUGGUCAUUGUAUCGUACCGAGUACAAAAGGAAAGAAGAAGGAUAGGGGGAUAUGUCACGCAUAUAUGGGUACCCGAAGGGAAGGUUAGGAUAAACAUCACCGGUCAGACCGGUUGCUUUUGGCCUUUCUUCUUUUCUUUCUUACUUUUGUUGCGUUUGGGCAAAGACGUACCUGGUUUCUUGUCUGACGAGUUCCAACCCAAACCACCAUUUAAAAAAAAAAAAAAAUUAAAGCAAGGGUUGCGAGUCUCUCCUAGCUGUUUGACAUGGUAGGAAUAGUAAUAUGGAUUAGUAGUUGUUUAUUGCGAUAAUUAAGGGGGAAAGACACCAUGUAAUUAUACCAAUCACGCUUGACUCCAUUCCUUUCACAUUAUUGAGAGGACUUCCUGUGCAAUUUUCCUGUUUUGCUUUCGUCUGACUCAAAGUUGUCGGUCUCUUAUUUGCAUUUUCUUUCCUGCCCUCUUCCUUUUCUCAAUCUUCUCUCUGCUCAAAGUAUCACCGCAGGCCAUGGUCUCGCUUUACGGUCUCCCCUCCUUCUUUCUUUCAUUUUCCUUCGUUUUUCUAUCGCAAUUCUCAAACUUCAUUGACACUCAAGCUCAAGAUUAUGAUUACCUAGCUGCCCACGAUUUCAACUCAGUGGGUGAAUAACGUAAUAGCUACUCACGUCACUCGACAUGUAGAUGGAUUCAGGCAAUUCUACUCCGAGGCAAAGGAGGUUCUUGGCCUGCCUACGCUUGCAGCUUCUACUGUAAUGGUAAUUGCAACAGUUGCCUCUUUGCUGUUUUCAUCGUCACAGUUUAUGGUAGUGGCGUAACUGUUGAAUACACUAUUCCACAAGCAGUGUGAUCUGCCAAUAGAAACAAUCCUGUAAAGAUCGAGGCAACAUUGAAGCUCACGUCCGAAGGUGAUUUGGUGUUGAAACAUGCUGAUGGUACGGUUGCUUGGUUCACAAAUACUUCUGGAAAGUCCGUUGUAGGCUUGAACUUGACAGAUUUGGGGAACCUCGUGUUGUUUGGUAAGGACAAUGUGGCUGUUUGGCGGUCUUUUGAUGAGCUAACCGACUUGCUUUGUCCUCAGAAAAAAGUUGAGGCAGGGGCAAAUAUUGAUGCCGAGUGUUUCCAAGACAAAUUGGACCGUUAAUGAUAUGAUUUCGCUUUCCAUGAUUGGCGAUGUUUUACGUGCUCAAGCGGAGAUUAAUCAUCCUCAAAUAUAUUUCGAGCGUGAAGGUUCAACUACAAAUGCAAGCAUCGAGUUUCCAUAUAUUGAGUUUGUAAAUGGAAGCUUGUCUUGGAUCUCAUAUUCUAGCUUUUUUUGUCUUGAUAUCAUUUCCUCUAGGAUCUUCUAAUCGAUACAUGAAGUUGGGCUCGGAUGUGCAUUUGAGAGUGUAUGUGUACAAUUGGUUGGUGAGCGUAAAGAAGUGAAAAUCUUUUCAUAGGGUUUGGCGAGGACUGUGCCUAUCCAACAGUGUGCGGGCGAUAUGGAAUUUGUUCCAAUGGGCAAUGUAGUUGUCUGGCUUCGACUAGGGGAACGAGCUAUUUCCAAUAAGUAGAUGAUAGGCAGCCUAAUUUUGGGUGUUCUAAGAAUGUUCCAUCGUCUUGUUGGGCUUCAAAAAAUCAAACUCUUCUGGAGCUCAAAAAUGUCAUGUAUUUCAGUUUCACUCUAGAUCUUGAGGAUAUAGAUGCCUUAUGUUGCAAAGAGACCUGCACAAAGAAUUGUUCCUGCAAAGCAACUAUAUUCCAAUAUCAUUCUAAUCGCACUAGCGACAAUUAUUACUUACCAACUCGGGUGUUAUUACUUAUGAACGUUGACAAGAAAACAUUUUUUUAUAAUUCUACUGCUUACCUUAAGUACAAAAUGUGGCCAAUUAAGCUCCUUAUACUUCGGUUGACAAUUGUAUGAGCAACCGUUUCCUUGUAAUACCUGCAUCUAGCCUCGGAGCUCUCUUUGCCCUAAUGAUUUUCAUCACAGUCAUAGUUUUGUUGUUCAAAAGAGAGCAAAGGAGGAUUACCUUGAUCAAGUACUUGGAGUGCCCACUAGAUUCGCAUACAAUGAUUUGAAGACCAUCACAAAUGGAUUCAGUAAAAAGCUUGGCGAGGUGUUUUGGUUUUGUUUCAAAGGUACUCUGAGCGACAGCAUAAAAGUUGCAGUAAAACGCCUUGAUGGUUUUGGAUAGGUUAGGAAAUCCUUUCUAGUCGAAGUUGAGACUAUUGAUAGCAUCCAUCACGUGAACUUGGUAAGACUCAUCAAAUUUUGCACUGAGAAAUUCCAUAGGCUCCUCAUCUAUGACUACAUAUCGAAUGGGUCUCUAGAUAGAUGGAUCUUUCACAAAUUCAAUGAAUGUGUUCUCUGCUAGCAACAAAUGAAGAAGAUCAUUCUUGAUAUAGUGAAAGGACUAAAUUAUCUUCAUGAAGAUUGCGGACAGAAGAUAUUUCACCUAAACAUUAAAUCCCCAAAUAUCCUCUUGGAUGGAAAUUUCAAUGCUAAGGUUGCUGAUUUUGGAUUAUUCAAGUUGAUAGACAAAGACCAAAGCCAUGUCAUCACAACCAUGAGAGAAACUCUUGGUUAUGUGGCCCUCGAGUGGUGGAGUAAAGCAAUCAUUGAAAAGAUCGGUGUGUAUAGUUUUGGCAUGGUAAACUUAGAGAUAGUUCAUGGGAGAAAAAUCUUGGGUCGCUCUCUAGAAGAAGAAGACAUGCAUUUACUGAGCCUUUUUAAAAGAAGGUAGAAGAGGAACACUUAUUAGACAUUGUGGAUAAGUCUAGCGAUGACGUGCAACUAAAUGGACCAACGGCAGUGAAUAUGAUGAGUAUUGUUGCAUGGUGCUUGCAAGGAGACUAUACAAAGAGGCCCUCCACGUCAAUGGUCAUCAAGGUGCUAGAGGGCGUCAUGGAAGUUCCAAGGGACCUAGAUUACGACUUCACUGCUUGGGCUUCCACCAGUGGAGAAGCAAGAUUUAGUCGAAUGGAUGUCGAAUUCAAUGAUGCCUCUGCAUUACUACCCUCAAUCCUAAAUGGUCCACGAUAACGCUACAAAGUCGUAAGAACUUUUCUUCCCAAUAUGUCAAGUGGUAGAACGGGUGAUUGAAUUUUUCAAACUAUGAGGACUCCAUCUUGUCAUUCUCUUUUUAGGCCCAAAAAGGCCUUUGGCGUGAUAUCAUUUCUCAUUUUCACUUUGCCAAUGAGUGGACUCUGCCAUACUUUGCAAAGGAUUGAGUUGGUUAUGGCAUUGCAAUUUGGUUUUAUUGCUUACGUGGAAAUCAGUUGUACUCAAGCUUGUUGUGUGCUAGUCUAGGGAAAGGGGGAGCUUGCCGAACCAUUUGUGCAGAAAGUUGUUAAAAGACUAGUCAACUGCUGGUAAUUUCUUUUGGUAGCUUUGCCAUAUUGUGGAUCCAAAUGAGAUUUGCCUUUUGGUUCCAACACCUAAUAUCUUUUAGAUUCAAUGACUCUACCUUCCAUGUCUUUUUCAUUUCAACGUUAGUGGGCUAUUUUUAGUCCGUUCGACGAGCACACGGUUAAAACCGAUAAAGAUAACAGGAGAAUUUCAUCACUAAUGAGUUUGGAUUUUUCCUAGCGACUCUUGAUAUAUCCUAGGUCAAUAAUCUUAACUUACAACUUCUUAAAGAUCCAUUGAGGUCGUCUUGGGACAUAUUUUUGCCAAAAAUAAAGAACCGAGAUGUUUGGGUAUGCAAGAUUCAACUUUGCGAUCUUUAGAUAAUACCAAUCAUUCUCAAUAACCUUAGAUUUUCCACAUUCAUUAAUCAACAUUGAUCCAAGCAUAUAGAUUCAUCAAAUUCAAUUGAGGAUAGAAAGCUUGUUCGGGUCUUAUUUGGUCCCUGGAACUGCUCACACAAUUAACAAAAGUUCAAAGCGAUCUAACGCCCCCAACCCCCCUAAAAACAACACCCAUAAAAAUUGCCAUGGCACCUCUUGAUUCGAUUUGAUCACGGGUGGUCAACAGACCAGAGCCCCCAUGGAGCUCAUCCAAAGGCCCGAGCUACGGUAACCUCUCGCAAAGUCCUCAUUCUUCCGAAAUAAGUACAUCCCAAGUGUCAAAAUUUGGCACAGAGAGAUAUUUAAGUGCCAAAAGUUAGGAAAGUGACUCUUAAGUGUUAUCUCCGGUGAACCCCGCCGAAAAUCCUAUAUGGUAAUUUUUUAUUAUUUUUCUCGCUUACAUGGCUCGUCGGAGAGUUGACUUAGUAAAGAAAAGCAAAAACGACAUCGUUUUUGCGUGGAUUCGAAUUUUAAUAUAAAAUUAAUUUAAUAAUAAUAAUAAUAAUAAUAAUAAUAAUAAUAAUAAUAAUAAUAAUAAUAAUAAUAAUAAUAAUAAUAAUAAUAAUAAUAAUAAUAAUAAUAAUAAUAAUAAUAGCAAAAAAAAAGAGGAGGAGGAGGAGGGAGGAAGAAGGCGGUUGAGGGCUGAGCCCUCGCCGCUGCCGCCGCCUCCUCGCCAUCGUCGGGAAGGGUCGGUGAAUGUGGGGGGAGGGUCAACUGGGGUCGUCAGUCCCUAGCCAUGGGCCGGCGACCCUGGCCGACUGGUGGCGAGGCCCCGCGAGCCCUCGCCCCAGAUCUGGGUGAGGGUCACAAGCUUCACCAGAUCCGGCGAGGGCCACCGACCCUCAUUAGAUUUGGGGGAGGGCCAUGACCUUUAGCCUGGCUAGGUAAGGGUUGCGACCCUUGCCCAAAUCUGGGGCGAGGGCUCGCAAGCCCUCGCUGCCUGUUGGCCGAGGUUGCCGACCCUUUGCCAGGGCCGGGUGACCCUGGCCGACCCUCCCUCCAUCGUCGCCGGCCCUUCCGGUGGCAGUGAGCAGGCGGUGGCGGCGACGAGGGCUUAACCCUCAGUUGCCGUCUUUCUCUCUUGGCCUUUUUUUAAAAUUAUUUUUGGAAAUAUUUGUAUUUUUAUUUUUAAAUGAUUUAAUUAAAUUUAGUUUUAAAUUUAAUUUAAUUAUUUUAAUUUUUAAUUUUUUACCACGUCAGUAGCAAAACGACAUCGUUUUUGCAUUGUCUAGUCAUGUCAGCGUGCAAAAUGACGCCGUUUUGCACAUGCUUCGCCGAAAAAUCGUCACGUUAGCAUUUUGGCCGGAUUUUCUUGCCGUUGGCACUUAAGUGAUCAAUUUUGCUAUAAUUUAAGCACUUAAGUGAUUCUCUAAUUUUAGCACUUAAAGUGAUCAAUUUUGCUCUGAUUUUGGCCUUAAAUGUCACUUUCUUAACUUUUGGCACUUAAGUGUCCCUUCGUGCCAUGUUUUGGCACUUGGGUGUACUUCUUCCCACUCUUCCUAUCACAACUCACUAGCGAUGGAAGUAUUUCUUUUUAUUCUUCCAAUUCUCUGCUUUGUGCCUUUCUUUCGCCUUCUCCUCUUCUUGAAGUCUCCGAAUUGGAGUCGCCAUAGUAAGUUAUCGAAAAUCACGUAGAGAAAGGAUAAUCUCGCGAUGAAUUUGUCUAUCUUCUCCUCAGCCAUGGAAGGCAUUGCGUGGUGAGGAUGGAUCUACACGUUGUGCAUCCUGCACUUUGUGUUUGCUUGCCAGUUCCUUCACCUUCAACCUCUCGUCUCUACCCUAGGUACAUCAUUCUGGAUAGGGGUAAGCAUCGGUCUAGGGUCAAUCUUAAAUCGGCCCUAAACCAGCCCAACCCUGAUUAUCCUAAUCCAGUUCCCAGGGAGAUUGGAUUGGUUUUUGGUCUUGGGAUUCCUAGACCAGCACUGUGCAAGUUGGUCCUCGGUUCUGGGAAUUUAGAAUCAGUCCAACCCGAAACAACCCUAACUCUAUAUAUAUUGUAUAUCUAAUAUAUUAUUUAUAAUUUUUUAUGUAGAAAAAACCCUAAAAUAAACAGUGUCAAUAACAUUUAACAGCUCAUUAGUGAGGAGUUCAAGUAAUUUUACACCGUUCUUUAAUAACUUAUAUUUUUAAUAUCUUUUACGGCGUCAAUAACCAUAAUUUACAAAGGACAAAAACAUUUUUAUAAGGAAUCCUUAUGGCGUCCAAAAUGGUAUAAACAACUUCUCACAGCAUCUUCCUUUAGUACUUAUUCUCUUAUAUUUUAUAUGUUCUCUUAGUCUUCAAUUUGCUAAAAUCAAAAGAAACAGCUUCUCCACUUGCCACUUGACACUCGUCUUGCUCACUUUGGGUCACUUGUGCUGCUCGUCGCUUGAUACUCACCUAGCUUGUUGCUCUCCACUCUUUGCUUAAUGCUCACCCCACUCGACGCUCGCCGCUCGCCUCUCUUAGCUAACCUCGCUUGUCACCGAGCCCAUUGAAUCGGUUCGGUCAUUGGUCGCCUUUUUAGGAAGUACAAUACUAAAAAUGAAAUUAAAACUUAUUGGUUGGUCCCAGGUUGACCUUGGAAUUAGACCGAACCCAUUGGGUCGGUCCGGUUAUCGGUCGCCUUUUUAGGGAGUACAAAAAAUGAAAUAAAAAAAUUAUUGGUCUUGGGUUGACCUUGGAACCAAACCGAAUCCAUUGGGUUGGUCCGGUCCUCGGUCCCAAGCUCAAUAAGGUUGGUUCUUGAUACUAAAAAUUGAGAAUCAACAUUGUAUGGAUUGUUCUUAGGGUUAGGGGGUGGACUGGCUCAACUCGGAUCAUGCUCACUCCUAAUUCUGGAUUAGAUCUGUGAACUCAUUGCCUAGUGGAGACUUUGAGAGGUUGCAAUGUGCUUUAAAGCUUGAGCAACUGGUUUUCUAUUUGAGUAAUUUAUUGAUCAUCGUGGCCACUGAUUUUGCAUAGAGACAUCAAAAAGAGAAUGUUAGAUGAAGAUAAUCAAAAUGAAUAGUACUAGCUGUGUUAAUCCAUGCAUUUUCAUUUUUGCCAUCAUAUCUUCUUCCUUGUCCCCCUUCUUUCAAUCUUCAUUGUAGCAUCAAUUGACCCAGAAUGUUCAGUUUAAACAUUGCAUGACAUCUAAAUCGAUCAUUGCAUAACACAAUCCUAUUGAAAUGUUAAAUCCUCCCAACAUAGAAACCUUCCUGGUAUCAAUAAUUCGCUAUCGUGACUACAGCUUAAAGAUAGAGCCACAGAGAGAGAGAGAGAGAGAGAGAGAGAGAGAGAGAGAGAGAGAGAGAGAGAGAGAGAGAGUUUUUGUCCGAACAUACGGUGAUUAUACAAGCAGUUGGGCGCCUUGCAAAGAUGACUUCAAAAAAUAUGAGGAGAAAAUUUGUUGCCCUGCCUAGACAUUAUCGUAUUUUGCUAUUUUGGAUAGGUAUCCAAAUACUUUUCUUGCUUUUUGAUAAUUAAGUGAAUUUGAUUAGAAUAAACUGUGAAAAAAAUUAAAUUAGCUUAGAUUAAAUUCAAUAUGUAACAUGACUCACGCUCUUUAUCGAGUAAAAAAUUGUAUGGAUUUUCACUAUUUUCGUAAAAAGGAAGAAGUUAAAAAUAGUUUGUAUAACCAUCAAUAAAAUAAUAAUUGACAUUAUUAGAGAAUUCAAUUAACUAACCUUAGAAAAUGCAAUAAAUGCUAAGAAAAAGAAGGUAGCAAAGUUAAUUUAUGAGCAAGAAAAAAAAUCAUCAGUCGAUUUUUUUAUUUUUUGAAAAAAAAUUGUUAGGGAAGGGCGAUUGCCGGGUGGCCCUCCCCACUCUAUCAAUUGUGAUGUGUCUUGUAUGGGUACCAUGUACAUAUAUGGCGAAGGUAAGGAUGUAUUUUCUAGCUAUAACUCGUAUUUGAUAUCAAUGAACUAUAUUCUGAUUAUGGACACUUUAAUGAUUUGUUAAAUAUUAUUUUAUUGAGGGGAUCUUUGAUCUUCGGUGUAUCAUUGGGUAUGUAAUGAUGAUAAUCAAUGUAUUGAGAAUCGCAAUAUAUUCUUAUUUAGUUGCGUAGGAAUUGUUUUUGACACUUUUAAAAUGAAUCUUUUUUAUAUUACACUUUACUGCCCUAGGUAGAAUAAUUUAGAAUACAAAAAGGCACCCUUCAAAUGAUGCAAAUAUAUUAUUAUCCAAAAAUUAUAAUUGUGAAGCUUGUUCACAAGGAAAACUCAUUACUGAACCUUUUAUAACAAAGAUUAAUCUUGAAUGCCAUUUAUUCUUGCAAAUAAUUCAUGAUGAUAUUUGUGGAUCAAUGUAACCACCAAGUGAACCAUUUCGAUAUUUUAUGGUACUAGUGGUGUAGAUGAUUCCAUAAUUGUCUAUUAUCUAUGCACAAUAUCACAUUUGCACAUUUACUUGCGCAAAUUAUAAAACUCCGGACACAAUUCCCUAAUUAUCCAAUUAAAAACAUAAGGAUGGAUAAUGCUGGUGAAUUUACAUCAAAGAGUUUUGAUAUCUAUUGUGCUUCAUUCAAAAUCGAGAUUGAGCACCUAGUCGCAUAUGUUCAUAUCCAAAAUGGAUUGGCAAAAUCAUUGAUUAAAUAUAUCCUAAUCAUUACCUAAACUCAAUUAUCCAUAAUGAAUCUCAACGAUACAGCAUGGGGUUAUGCAGUUUUGCAUGCGGCAGACCUAAUAAGAUUACACCCCACAUCUAGUCUUUUACAAUCUCCCAUUCAAAUUGUUCUUGAUUAUGAACCAGACAUUUCACAUUUAUGCAUCUUUGGUUGUGCAGUAGAGGUGCCUGUAGCACUACUAAAAAGAACAAAAAUGGGUUCCCAACUCCAUUUGGGCAUUUAUGUUGGGUUUAAUUCACUGUCCAUCAUUAGGUUUUGGGAACCAACUAUUGGUGAUCUUUUUACUGCCAAAUUCGUAGAUUGUCAUUUCGAUAAGACUAUGUUUCCAUUAAUUGAGACACUUACAACUUCUAUGACUACAAAACAAAACCAGUUAAGUAUUUCUCCCGGAAUGAGAAAAUUUUAUUUCAACUAGACCCAAGAACUCCUAAGUGCAAAAACAAGGUGCAGCGCAUAAUCCAUUUACAGGCUAUGGCCAAUAGACUUCCCGAUACAUUUAAUGAUGUUACUAAGGAACGAAGUCUCAUAUUCCAGUUGCAAAUGCUCAAACUAGGAUAGCUGUUCUCGAAAGACAAGCUAAAAUGGAUCAACCCCCCACUUGAAGCGUGGUAGAUCAACAGGAUCAAAAGAUACUGUUCCUCAAAAACAAAGAUGAAAGAAUCAAGAUACCACUCUAGAAGAACCCGGUGUUGUGCUUGCUCCCAAAGAGCUUAUUGCCCCUAAAGAGGCACAAACCCAUGAAAGGAACACCAACCCUAGGAAUACUAAGAAUUUCAAUACAUAUUGUAAUAAGAUUUGUGAUCGAAAUGAAAUUAUCAUCGAUGAUGUUUUUGCAUUCUCAAUUGCUCAUAAAAUUAUGGAUAAUGAUUGUGGAAAUAUGAGCUUAGUUUUUGUCAUAGAUAUAGAGUGAUAUAUUGGAAAUAAAAUUUUCUGUUAUGGCUUUCUCUACUAUAUUUGGUAUUUAUUUGCUUUCUUUACUCAAUCUUUCUAUUCUCUCUAUUAUAUAUUUGCAACGCAAUAUUAUACAAUAGGACACAUCAUUUUUGUUUUCCUCUUGCAUUCCGUACCUCGUGCCGUAUCAAAUUCGAGUAUUCAUCAAGCACAGUCUUUGGGUGUUUUUCUUUUUCUUUUUUAUAAAUAUCGCAAGAGGAGAGAAUAACGAAGGUGGAUGCGUGAAGGGGGAGCAAUAGGAUAAACACCGCCGGUUGCACCGGUUGCUUUUGGCCUUUCUUCUUUUCUUUUUUUGAGUGUUGUGUAUGUAAAGAGAGAUACUUCGUUCCUUGUUUGACGAGUACCAGAUCUCUUCCAAUCCAAACCACCAAAAAAAUUGAAAAUAAAAAUGAGAGUUGCGAGCCUCUUUUUGCUGUUGUUUGACGCGGUAGAAACAAGCGAUGUUUUAUUAGAUAGGCAUAAGAUUACAUGCAUUAGUUUGGCUCGAAUUGUGCAGGGCAAUGGAUUAUGAUUCCAAUUAUAACCACUCUAAGAACACUCGACUAACACACUAUAAAAUUCAAGAGCAAAUUUGUGUGUUUUAAUAGCGUCCGUUCUUCCAUUUGUGGGAAAUUAGUACACAUAUAUAUUUCAGCAUAAUUUUUUUUGCAAAAUUGUAUCAUAUUUCAAAUAAAUCUCCCUAUCUAGAAUAAAACAAAGGCAUAAUUCUUAGUUCAAAUGAUGUGUUAAUGUAAAAUAUAAGACUUGAUAACAGUUAGGAAAUUGUUAAUUUUUGUUAUUUUAUGACGUAGGGAGAAUUCAUAUGUAAUUAAUGAAACCAGUGUAAAUUUGAGAGAAAAUAAUAAAAAUCUUUCAAGGAACUUGAUAGGAAGAGUUGAAACAAAAUGUAAGAAUUUUCAACAAUCGCUAAUUUGCAACGUUAAAACUCAUUAAAACUAAUUUAUUUUCCUUUUUGUUGAACAAAACUUGUGUUAUUGAAUGAGGCAAAGUACAAAUUUUGGUUGAAAGAAAAAUGAGUGGCGAGUGCGAAAAAGAAGUCCUUGAAUGGAGAGGGAUCAAUCCAUUCCAAUUUAGAGUUACGGGAUAAUUCCACUAAAAGUUAUAAAUUUCAUACUCCAUGACAUAGUUAUUUAAACUAAUUUUGUUUUACAAAAAACCCAAACCGCAUACCCUAUGACAAUUCAUCUAAAAUUAAUUUUCAUCUCACAUAAAAUCCCAAACUAAUACCUCAUGAUAUAUUUACCCCCAACCUAAUUUUGUCUCAUAAAAGACCCCAAAUGUUACUCCUAAUCCAAUCUACCUUCUAUAAAAUGUGUAGAUUUUUCAUGCCGAAUCUAUCAUUCUCCAUGUUAGAUCUAUCUUACAGUUAUCUAUUGUUUGUGUUGACACGCACGCAUUUUAACAUAAUAUUAAACUUAAUACUGAUUGAUGAUAGAUUUGCGUUAGAGAUACCAAUUUGGUAUAUUUUGUGACACAAAAAAUCAAUUUAGGGUAAAUGUGUCAUGGAGUGCUAGUUUAGGAUUUUUAUGAGACAAAAGCUAAUUUGGGAUAAAGGUGUCAUGAGAGUAGAAUUUGGGAUAUUUAACAGUAGUAGCACUAGUUAUGUUUAGAGACAGUUCCUUAAGGAAGAACUUGAUCUCAUAUAUUUAAAUAAAUAGGGAAGUCAUCGGGGUGAAGCUUCAUCGGAAGAAAAUUUCUUUCUUGGAUUUGGGUCCACCGAUUUGAGUUCAACAAUUUCUCUAGACAACCAUCUUUCAUCAUUUUGAGGUGAUGGUGCAUUGCAUGCUUCAAGACAAUUCCCUGCUUCGAAUGAGUUUAGAUUUAGGAUUGUAGGCAUUAGAGUGACUAAAUAUAACUUUGAAAGGAUAAACGUAAAUGAAAAACAAGCCCUGGGAGCAAAAGAUAUUUUCGCUGUACAAAACAAUACAUGAAAUCCUCAAUCUUGGAACCUUAUAACUCGAUUCCAAGGCCAGAGUUUCUAGUUCUAGCAAGUAAUGUCACAAACCGUUGAGAAUUGAACCAUGAUUUUUAACAUGAACAAAUAACAGCAUAAGCACAAAAACAAGGAGACAUUGCGAAACCACUAGUGAAGAUUGCCACUGUAGCUAAAGAAAAUAAGCAAAAUUUGCAAUUACUAAUACAAAUUUCUACAGAAAAAAAAAGUCAUGCUCAACAUGAAUAGAAAAAUAUUGGAAAGAGAGGUGAGAGCGAGGGCGGGUGUGAGAAAAAGCCACAUGAGGAAGAGAGCUUGAGGGUGGUAGGCGUGAUGGAACACGGUGUGAGGAAGAGAGUUCGAGGGCAGUGAGCAUGAGGGAAUGUGGCUUGAGGCAUGGAAGAGGGGGAGUCGUGAGGCAUGAGAGAGGAGAGUGAAGAAAGAGAAGCGUUCUUAGGGUUUUUGCUUCAUAAAAAGGCAAAAAUGGAAUUACGUCUAAUAAAUCAUGGUGAGAUGGGAAGUUAAGAUAUUUUCAUUAAACCAACAAAGUAGAGUUUUGAAAAAGCUAAUUCUUAAGAAACCUCCAAUUUUUCAGUCUCUUAAAGGCAUUUGCAUAUGCUCAAAGGACUUUAGAACUCUAAAGUCCAUUCCAAAUAUUGAACCAAACAAAGAAACUUGGGCUUAGGCUUUGCAUUGAAAAGCUCCAAGCCUUGAUGAUGAGACUUCGGGGCCGAAUUGAGCCUGGAUUCAGAAGAGCCGGAUUCGUGCAAGUUCAUCACAUCAAAAACCCUAAAGAAAUCCAGAUCCUGCAUGAAAGCUACAGGCCCAGACAAAAAGUUUUUGUAUUUGGUCCAAACCCGCUUGAUAGCAGAAGAUUUGUCCAAACCCGAUCAAAUAAUGAGUCGUCGAUUAGCAUCGGUCAUGGUGAAUCACUUCCACUUGUUCUGGUUUUAGGUCAGUCAUCGGCAAUCUUCUCUGUUCUCUACUUUAUUUGUUGCCCUGGCAAAAGGUGAUGGAAUUUUUGACCAGUGCCGUGCACGUGGGAUUGAGUGAAAAUGCGACUUCAUUUGCUGCGUCUUCCUCGGGACCGUAAUGGAACUUUUGACCAGUGCCGUGCACGUUGGAUUAAGUGAAAAUGCGACUUCAUUUGCUGCGUCUUUCUCGGGACCGUAAUGGAACUUUUGACCAGUGCCGUGCACGUUGGAUUGAGUGAAAAUGCCCGACUUCAUUUGCUGCGUCUUCCACGGGGACACGGAGGGCGGUCCACUUUCUCCCCAUCGGGGAAGCACUGGGACCACCUUUAUUCCUUUUUAAUUCUUUAAUCCGGGCUCUGUCAAAAGAGAGAAAAAAAAUUCCAUUUUACCUCUGCUUUCUGUCUCACUCUCACUCUCGGUCUCUCUCUCCCCGAGAGUGAUCGAUUCGAUCCGAUCUAAUUCCAUUUAGGAAUUAGGAAUCGAACCGGAAUGAUGGAUUCCCAAUUUUUAGGAUAAAAAAUUAGACCGGACCAAUUUAGGAUUGAGAACUGGACUGGAACAACCGGUCUAGUCCGGUCCGGUCCCAUGAAACGGAUUACUUAGUAAGAAAAUUUAACAAUUAAGAAAAAUACAAGAAUUGUUACUAUUUUUAAGUUUUAUUGCUAUUUUAAGAUAUUAAAAAAUCAAUUAAAAAAUGGAUUGGCCGGUCCAGUCCAAUCCGUUUCGGUUCCACCCCAAAGUUAGGAACCCCGACAAUUACCGGUUCCAUUUUUAUGGAACUAGGAAUUGGACCAAUCCCUCUAGGAACCAGACCACAUUGACCAGUCUGGUUUGAUUCAAGCGAUUCCCAGUUUGGGCAGUCCGAUAUGCUAACCCCUAAUCUUAUCUUGUCCACGUGACCAAAUGAAUCACGAUAACUUUACAUCAUUGAUCUCCACUUCACGUGCAAUGAGAGCCGUGUUCGGCCUGGAGCAACGAUCGUGAAGUCGGAAGUGCCCACCCGCAUCGAUGUUGGAGCAGCUCUUUGACAGUGGUGCCGGUGAGCAAAACGGUAUUAGGGCGCUAAGCUUAGAGUGGAAAGUGGGUCUAGGGUUUCCUGGUGAUUGAGCAUAGCAAAGUGUUAGGAGCAAUUUGGAGAAGAAAGUCACAGUUUGAUUAUAAAAAAAAAGUCACGUGGUCGUUUCUUGUGAGAUGGAAUGUGGUACCGUCUUUAUUGAGAAAAAUUAGGGUGUUAAGAUUGGAUUAAUUUAGGAGAUUAUGUAACAUAGCUCACUGUCUUUAUUGAGAAAAGAAAAUUGUACGGAUUUUCGCUACUUUCAUAAGAAUAGCUUACACAACCAUCGGCAAAUAAUAAUUGACGUUAAUAUAUUAGAGAAUUCAAUUAAUCAAUCUUCAAAAAGCAAUAAAAUUAAAUGCUAAGUAACACGAUGAAGAAAGUAACAAAGUUAAUUUUUGAGCAGAAAAAAAUGAUGAGCUGAUUUAUACUUUUUCUAGUAAAACAAUAGGCAGGGAGAGAAGAUCGCUGGGUGGCUCCUCCACCGAUUGUACUGUGUAUUGUAUGGGUGCCAUAUUCAUGAAUGGCGUAGGCGAGGACACAUAUUUGAACGUUAACUUGUAUUUGAUAUAAGCAAACUUUAUUUCAAUUUAUGGCCAAUUUAAUGAAUAUCUAGGACACCUGUUAAAUAUUUUUAUUAAAGGGAUUUUGACCUUCAAUGUGUAAUAGGAUAUAUUAUGAUGACAAUCAAUGUAUUAGGAGUUGCAAUAUUUUCUUACUUAGUUGCUUAAUGAGUGUUUUCGAGAGACUUUUUAAGUAAAUAUUUUUUAUCUCGGAUCUUUAUACUUUUUUAAGACACUUCAAUGCUUCGGCUUGGAUUAAUAAGUUCUUUCGAAGGAAAAGCCUAGUGGAUUUUUCCAAGUAUUAUGUAAAGAAUGCAAUUGACCAAUAAACUUUGGGUUUGGUAAGAUCAAUUUCUAUAUCUUGUAUAAAGAGAAAAGUUUAACGAAAUCCUUCCACCAGAAAUUUUUCCAUUGUUUUCUGUAAAGAACUGUUUGAGUGAGCAUACGUUGAUUCAAAUAAGGUACAACUGAAAAAAAAAAUCUCUGAUAGUCUUUCCAAUUAGAUCGAUCGAAGUGAGUUCAAAGAGCUUCUGUGGGAGAGAGUACCUUUGAGGUUGAUUCGAUCGUAGGUCGCUGCCACUAGCAAGGAAGUGAGAGAGAGAGAGAGAGAGAGAGAGAGAGAGAGAGAGAGAGAGAGAUUUUGUCAAGCCAGACAGUGACUAUGGAAGCAUUUGGGUUCGUUGCAUAAAUGAUAAUUACAAAAACAAGAGGUGAGAGUUUGUUUGCUCUGCCUUGACUUAAUUGUAUUCGCUCUUCUGGGGUACGUAUCCAAAUACCUUUCAACUCUUUAAUAAUUAGAGAAUCUUUUUUUUUUUGGUCAAACAUAAUUGGUGAAUUAGGUUAAAUUAGAUUAAAUUAGGAGAUUAUGUAACAUUGCUCACGCUCUAUAUCGAGAAAAAAUAAGUAUGGACUUUUACUAUUUUCGUAAGAAUAGCUUACAUAACCAUUGACAAAAUAAUAAUUGGCAUUAAUACAUUAGAAAAUUCGGUUAACCAAUCUUAGAAAACAUGAUAAAAUUAAAUGCAAAGAAACAUGAUGGAGAAAGUAACCAAGUUAAUUUCUAAGUAGGAAAAAAAUUGACGAGGUUGAUUUUAUUUUUGACAAAGAAAUGGACGGGGAGGGGUGAUCACCAGGUGGCUCUUCUGUUGAUUGUAAUGUGUAUUGUGUGACAUAUUCAUGUAUGGCGAAGGUAAUGGUCUAUUUUCAAACUUGAACUAGUAUUUGAUAUCAAUAAAUUUUAUUUUGAUUUAUAGUCAUUUUAAUGAAUAUCUUGAGUACUUGUUAAAUAUUUUUAUUAAGAGAAUCUUUGAUUUUGCAUAUGUCAUCGUGUAUAUUAUGAUGACAAUCAAUGUAUUGGGAGUCACGAUAUUUUUUUAUUUAACUGCUUAAUAAGUGUUUUUGAGGUACUUUCUAAGUAAAUCUUUUUUUAUGUCGAGUCUUUAUGCUCUUUGAAAUAAAAGAAUUCUAAAUCUUUUACUAAACCAGCGAAAGGUNNNNNNNNNNNNNNNNNNNNNNNNNNNNNNNNNNNNNNNNNNNNNNNNNNNNNNNNNNNNNNNNNNNNNNNNNNNNNNNNNNNNNNNNNNNNNNNNNNNNAAAAUUGCAACGUCGGCAAUUUGACCAGAUUUUGGCCGAAGUGGCACUUAAGUGUUCCACUUUACUCCGAAACUAGCACUUAAGUGUACCUUUCCGAAGUUAUGGCACUUAAGUGUUCCUCUGUGCCAAGUUUUGGCACUUGGGCUGUUCUUCUACCCAGUUUUCUUAUAUUGCUUAAUUGUUGAUUACGUCAUUCCACAAAUAGUGCGGUCUACCAAUCAAAACAAGCCCGUAAAGAUCAAGGCGACAUUGGAGCUCACGUCCGAAGGCGACUUGAUCAGAGGAAAUCGGAACCACAAUAAAGAUCAAUUGAUAUCCCAGAAACCAGACCAUUGAAAAACACUCCAAGGAAGCAGGGCACCAUAAAGUCCAGAAGAUGGGAUCACACAAUCCAUUUGGGUAGCUUCUCCAAUCACCUGACAAAUUAAAAAAGGGCCUGCAUCGCCAUUGGCAGUUCAGAAUGUAUAUAGCAAAGGCCAUGACUAAGCUAGUCAUCAACCUCUAACUAAACAAAGGCCCUCUAAAAUAAUUACCAAAUGAAGUAAAAUGAAAGCUACAUAACCUGUUUUAUUCUGAAAAAUGAAGAGAAGGCUACAUAACCUGUUAAGCACCUGUAUUUAUCAAUUCAAACAUGACUGAAAAGGGGACUCAGACAAGAAUUUCUCACAGAGAGAGAGAGAGAGAGAGAGAGAGAC
rnacentral:lncRNA from 1 species